CCCGCAUUGGUCUAGUGGUUAGAUCGUUAGGAUAUCCCGUUCUCAUCGGAAAGGCCGGGAUUCGAUUCUCCGAUGCGGAU
rnacentral:tRNA from 1 species